rnacentral:rRNA from 1 species
GACGAACGCUGGCGGCGUGCUUAACACAUGCAAGUCGAGCGGUAAGGCCCUUCGGGGUACACGAGCGGCGAACGGGUGAGUAACACGUGGGUGAUCUGCCUCGUACUUCGGGAUAAGCCUGGGAAACUGGGUCUAAUACCGGAUAUGACCUUCGGAUGCAUGUCUGAGGGUGGAAAGAUUUAUCGGUACGAGAUGGGCCCGCGGCCUAUCAGCUUGUUGGUGGGGUAAUGGCCUACCAAGGCGACGACGGGUAGCCGGCCUGAGAGGGCGACCGGCCACACUGGGACUGAGACACGGCCCAGACUCCUACGGGAGGCAGCAGUGGGGAAUAUUGCACAAUGGGCGAAAGCCUGAUGCAGCGACGCCGCGUGAGGGAUGACGGCCUUCGGGUUGUAAACCUCUUUCGACAGGGACGAAGCGCAAGUGACGGUACCUGUAGAAGAAGCACCGGCCAACUACGUG